UACAGAGGGUGCAAGCGUUGUUCGGAAUUAUUGGGCGUAAAGCGCGUGUAGGCGGCUUUGCAAGUCGGGUGUGAAAGCCCUCGGCUCAACCGAGGAACUGCCUGUCAGACUGGAUGGCUUGAGACCGGGAGAGGUGAGUGGAAUUCCCAGUGUAGCGGUGAAAUGCGUAGAUAUUGGGAGGAACACCAGUGGCGAAGGCGACGUCCUGGACCGGCAUUGACGCUGAGGCGCGAAAGCCAGGGGAGCAAAGCGGG
rnacentral:rRNA from 1 species